rnacentral:rRNA from 1 species
AUUAGACGAAUCAUCUGGAAAGAUGAAUCAAAGAAGGUAAUAAUCCUGUAGUCGAAAAUGUUGUCUCUCUUGAGUGGAUCCUGAGUACGACGGAGCACGUGAAAUUCCGUCGGAAUCUGGGAGGACCAUCUCCUAAGGCUAAAUACUCUCUAGUGACCGAUAGUGAACCAGUACCGUGAGGGAAAGGUGAAAAGCACCCCGGAAGGGGAGUGAAAUAGAACCUGAAACCGUGUGCUUACAAGUAGUCAGAGCCCGUUAAUGGGUGAUGGCGUGCCUUUUGUAGAAUGAACCGGCGAGUUACGAUUUGAUGCAAGGUUAAGCAGUAAAUGUGGAGCCGUAGCGAAAGCGAGUCUGAAUAGGGCGUUUAGUAUUUGGUCGUAGACCCGAAACCAGGUGAUCUACCCUUGGUCAGGUUGAAGUUCAGGUAACACUGAAUGGAGGACCGAACCGACUUACGUUGAAAAGUGAGCGGAUGAACUGAGGGUAGCGGAGAAAUUCCAAUCGAACCUGGAGAUAGCUGGUUCUCUCCGAAAUAGCUUUAGGGCUAGCCUCAAGUGAUGAUUAUUGGAGGUAGAGCACUGUUUGGACGAGGGGCCCCUCUCGGGUUACCGAAUUCAGACAAACUCCGAAUGCCAAUUAAUUUAACUUGGGAGUCAGAACAUGGGUGAUAAGGUCCGUGUUCGAAAGGGAAACAGCCCAGACCACCAGCUAAGGUCCCAAAAUAUAUGUUAAGUGGAAAAGGAUGUGGCGUUGCCCAGACAACUAGGAUGUUGGCUUAGAAGCAGCCAUCAUUUAAAGAGUGCGUAAUAGCUCACUAGUCGAGUGACACUGCGCCGAAAAUGUACCGGGGCUAAACAUAUUACCGAAGCUGUGGAUUGUCCUUUGGACAAUGGUAGGAGAGCGUUCUAAGGGCGUUGAAGCAUGAUCGUAAGGACAUGUGGAGCGCUUAGAAGUGAGAAUGCCGGUGUGAGUAGCGAAAGACGGGUGAGAAUCCCGUCCACCGAUUGACUAAGGUUUCCAGAGGAAGGCUCGUCCGCUCUGGGUUAGUCGGGUCCUAAGCUGAGGCCGACAGGCGUAGGCGAUGGAUAACAGGUUGAUAUUCCUGUACCACCUAUAAUCGUUUUAAUCGAUGGGGGGACGCAGUAGGAUAG